AGAGAUGUGGCUUGAAUAGUGCUGGUCUACUCCAAGACAACAGAGUGGAGGGAUGGUGGCAAUCUGGUGAGAUUAUGCCCCACCUCAAAGGAAAACCAUGGGAAAAAUAAUGUGAAAAACUUCAGUGCUCAACCCUCAAACUCAUUCCUCCAGAAGUAGCAGACCAACUUGCCCAGGUUGGUGGGAGAAAGGAAAACCUUGGCCAGAUAUGGACAGCACUGUCCUCAUCCCUCCCUUACCCCAGAACCCACCCAACCCACCCUGGUCCACCCCACCCUGGUCCACCCCACCCCGCACACACUCAAAGAAGAGCCUGGGGCCUCAUUGUAACACUCAUUUUUAUAUAAAUAUCCGCAAGUCAUGUUACAGAAUAAGCCCCACCGGGGAAAAAAGUCAACGUUAUGUAUUUGUUAGAUUGACCCCUGCCUUCUAGGUUGGGCCCCAGCCUGGAGGCGCCUGCUGCUUUGGGAAGGCUGGGGCUGCUGCCGUGAGGCUGCCGAAGAAGCUGCCUGUGUCGCCCACCCCUGGGCCGACCCCCUUCUUUGGUGUGUGGUACAUGGUGACCUUCUCUGGCCACCCUAAGCCUGGGGCAGGGUUUUGGAGAACAGGGUUCAGGGAAGCAGGGCCCAGGAGUCCUGGGGGCACUUGGAAAUGGGGUGAGGGGGACUGAGCCAUUAAGAAGUGGUGGAGUCUGAAACUUAAGAGGCUGAGCCUUUGGGGGUGGGGGCAGAGUGAAUGGGAACAGUAGGGGGGCCCAGGGCUGUCAACCAAGCAAGAAACUUCUGCCCUCCCUACAGCGCAGGUCCCUAGGUCCUGCCCCAUGUUGGUCAUCUCCUGCUGGCCCCACCUUUCCAGGGAGAAGCCAGCCUGACCCCUCCCGGCACUUCUGCCUGCAGUCCCCCCUCCCCCACAGAGAGGCCAGAGGAUAGGAACACAGCACCAGUCUGAGGAUUUAAUUAACCAGGAAGGGGACUGUUGGGAGGGGCACCCCUGUAAAAAUGUACAAAAGGUCUGGGGGCUAUGUGAAAGGGGUGAUAAAUAUGUACAUGGAACCCCCCUUCCUUGAGCCCCUCCUCCCCGAGCCCUCGGAGAGCAUGAGGACUUGGGUAUAGGUGAAGGGGAGGGGGCACUUUGGCCUCUGGCUUAGUGAGCCCUUGGGGAGGCAGGCCCAGGGCCUAGAGGCCCUUAGAGGGGCAAAGGUGCACCUCAUGAGGCCUCAUGGCCCCUGAGAUGAGCCACACUCCCAUGCACAUGCCCCCUCCCUCUCUAGAGGCUGUGACCUCUGCUCUCCCGGUGACCUCACACUCCACGUGAUGCUUGGUCUCGUGGGGGUUGAGGCUUCUGUUCCCAGGUUCCAUGACCUCAGAGGUGGCUGGUGAGGUUAUGACCUUUGCCCUCCAGCCCUGGCUUAAAACCUCAGCCCUAGGACCUGGUUGAAGGGGAGAUGGAGCUUUGCCCCAGCCCCUCCCCUCCCCUCACC